CUUGCAUUCCAUAUGGUGCUUUUGCUUUACCUGUUAAACUGACUUUAUCUCAACCCACCAGUUUUCUCACUUUUACCCUCCCCAUCCUGCUCCGGGGCCUGAGCAGGUAAAACCAGAACAGCUGCAGCAAUCUUGAAGACAAAUUGUGUCAUUUUCUGGGCAAAAAUGGGAUAGGGUCUACCAAGGAAAGGUGUUUACCAAGGAAAGGAAGGGACAGAACUAGCUGAAGGAGUUCUUUCUUUUGCUGAAAUAACUGAUGUGAUUUUCUCUGUAAAAAUCAUUGAUGGCUUCAGCAAUGAUCUUUUCAGACCAGGGAACAGUGGAUGAAACCCACUUCAAACUGAUGUCUUAGAGCUGAGCAGAGUGAAAGCCCCUGUAUCUCCAGCACAAUGUGGAUGCAGAACAAAAGCUAAGUCUCCGACUGUUUACUGCUUCUGAGAAUACCUUUCAAGUGAAAACAAUUGUUCAAACAAACCUUGAGAAGAAACAAAGUGAACAGCCACAUGAAUAAUGAAUGACACCACACAGAGUGUUACUGGUGGUCUGGAUGGAGCCAUUUGUUCUCGGAGCCCAAGUAUUUGUGCUUCCAGUGUGGCUUGCUCUAUAUUCCUUCAACUAGAGCUGAUAUUAAACUUGUUCACGCAUGUUUUUGGAACAAAACAAUAUCUUCUGUGCUCUGCUGCCUUGCCCCCAGCAGAAGGGCAGAUUUUUGUAGGGAGAAAGGGCUUGGAGAUAACAUUGUGCGAAAGCAGAGGUGAGUCUUUGCUUUAAUGUCUUUUGUGAGAAGGAAACUCAGCUGCCUCUCGGAGCAGGUAGCAGCCCAGGUGCUGAAUUCCCCUGCUGUGAGAGCACACACAGACUGGUAUCUCCCACCCCUCGCAGGCGGGAGGGUCCUGGGGGGUGAUCCCUGUCUCCAUGUCUCACACAUCUCCACAUUCUUUCUGAGCUGCACCAAAACACAUUUCCUAAAGUUUUCAGGUUCUGUUCCAGCUCUUUUUAUCAACAAACCAAUUCAAAAUAUUUUCUCUUCUGACAGUGGUGUUCUACCUGUGUAACUUCCACAGCCACCUUCACUACCCUUCUAAAAGGAGUACAGAUGAAAAAAUGUUUUAAAGUCUUUUAAAACAGCCAGAAAUUAAUCAUUUGAACUGAUAGUAUCAUGGGAAAGCCUGGAACACACAUCUGUCUGGAAAAUUCAUGGGUACCUGAGAACAAGAAAUCAUAAUAUUUGGGCUCUGGAAUUUUUAAUAUUUGCUUCUUCUGCUACUCCUUCUGCUGAAAUAUAUUCUGUUACAGUUUUGUCAAUUCCUGGAUAAGGAAUGGAGCAAUACUUUAAUCUUCUCUGGGGCAGACUGCAUAUUUUAAAAGCUCUAUAAACACGAGUUUUCCAAAGAACAAUCGUUGUUCCUGUAGGCAUUAAUGUUACAAACCAAGUAAUAAGGCUUCAAGCACUAAUCAAAAAAUCAGAAUUGCAAGUUGGUAACAAACAACCUAAAGCCUAAAUAGCUCUUAGCACUAAAAAUAAAUUCAGCCUUGUCUGGGAUCUCCACAGAGCUUUGUACCUCCCAGACCAUAAAUAUUUUUCCAUUUCAGCUUUCAAAUUAGUUACUGAUUAGCUACCUCAACAUCUGUAGGAGAACCUUCCCUGGAAGAGGAAGCAAACUGGUUUGCCGAGGUUCUGUUUGAUGAAGUUGAGAGGUACCUGCAGAGCAGAUCUGCUUCCAAAAGCCAGCCCUGUCCAUUUUCCUAGUUUAUUACUGAAGUGUUUUCAGUCGAACCCAGCAAAUCUGUUCCACAGGCAGAGCUAAAUCCGCUCCUCUGUGCCAGGCAGCAGCCGCUGGCUCCGGGCGCGCGGGCAAAGUGCCCAGACCCUGCCCAGCCCAGCACAGCCCGGGAGCUCUGAGCCCAACACCCCUCGCAGAGGGCAGGGCUGGGACUGAGCCGGGCUCUGGGGCUGCUGCAGAUCCCUCUGGCUGUUGAAAUGGUGUUUGCCACCUCAACCAGCACCGAGACCUUGCCCCUUGCACAGACCUGAGAAUGAUGUAUCAGCUGUCCUACAACACCUCUCAUUAAGCUGUUUCUUUUGGCAAAAGGAGGCCUUUGAAGGGAUGGCAGGGUUCAGGGACUAACUUUUCUAACGGGGAGCUUUGGUUCAGAGCCCUGAGAAAGGUUACUGAGUAGGAAGUUUUUGAGAGAGUGAAAUGGAAACAAAAUCUUCAGACUGCCCUGUCUUAGGGGGAAAAUUCUGCACAGCUGAGUCCUGCUGAUACCACGACUCCGAGGGCACCGAGGUCCUGGCCUCUCUCUUUGUCCUCAGGCAGAGCUGUGGGCUGAGCUGUAGCCCUGAUCAUCUGUACUUAAAAAGCACUUUUGUUGGAAUUUCCCAAAGCAUAAAAUUUCUGCUCGUAGCUGUAUUUUAAUUUGUUGUGGGAUAUCAGCUGUUCUCUUGUCAGAGUUUUUUGAUCCAUAGCAAAGUCCCAAAAGCUGUGUUUUGUGCUGAUGGUUUUUCAGAUGGAAUGGGAUAAUCCAGAUUCUUCCUCUUGGCACCUCUUCCCUGAAUUCCACCCCAUUGCCCUAAUCAUCAUCCCAUGACACAGUGAUGACUAAAAACACUAGAAAUUUUUAUUAAAAUAGUUUCUGCUGGUACCAUUUGAACUGCAUUUUAACGCUUUCUCAGACUACUCCAAAUGAGCUGCAUGAACAUCACAUCACAAGCUGCACAGUGCUGUUCUCAACUUGGGGCAAGAGCAGGCUGAUGCCACUGUGAUGUUUACUGACAAGCCAAAAUGCAUUCUGGAGAAAAACACCAUUAUUUCCUUCACAAAUGAAAGCAGACAUCCCUAAAGCUCUAGACACUCUCCAAAAUGCCUGUUUAAAGUAAACGAUAACAGGAUUGCUUUCCACUAGCUUUGGGCAGUAGGAUGUUCAAAGACGUGAUCUAAAAACCUGACUGCUUUGUCUGGGACCUGGGGACAGGGCUCACUGAAGGCAUGUAUUAAUGCCCAGCUCCCUACUGCUGUCCCAGACACUCACAUGUGCCCACAGGGAUGAGGUCGGAGCCUUCUGAGCAUCUUGUCUGAGUGUGCUGCUACCAGGAAGACCUGAAGGGUGCCUGGCGAGCCAUGUCCUUCCCAGGACCUGCUCUCAAGAACCAGAUCUCUCUUCUGAAAUGCCCCAGAUGACUGACACCUCAUCCUGCUGGGAGCCAGCUCGAGACUGUGGGGUGGUCAGGGUGAGGCUUGGUCCCACCUGCCUGGCCCCAGUGCAGUGAGGUCUGGCUCUGGACAUAUCCCUGGUUUCAUCUGAGGCUCUGCUGGACACGUGACAUCCCACACACCUGCACCUCACCCUGUACCUUCUGGUUCAGCACUGCUGGCUCCGUCCAGGAGGGACUUUGGACUUUGUGAGGAUGCAGGUGAGGUCACUGUUACAGAACUUUCUCUGUAUUCCCCAGGUACCCUGCAGCAGAGUCUCAAGCUUUAAGCCCAAUUCAAGUGCUACAGUGGUAGGAACAGCUGGAGAUGGGUGCCUCCGAGGAGGGACCCCAAACAAAGGAAUCCCUGGCCUGUUAUACCCUGACAGUCCCUGCACCCCACCCUCACCUGCUUCUCACACCCUGCACACAGCUCUUGGUUCAAUGGUGAUUUUUGGUCUGGGGUCUUCUCACACCUUAGUAGAUUCUUUCUCUCUCUCCCAGUGGGCCAGUAGCUGUUUUGAUCUGGUUGUGACUUCAUAACUUCCAGUUUACAUAACUAAGAGCUCAAGACAAAUUAAGUUCAGCCAAAGGUAAGGGUUAAGAUAAAUUCAGCCUAAGGCUUCAGCAACUUUAGCUUCUCAUGUUAAGUAAAACUACUCAGACAGAAAAAUACAAUUAACAGAAUUCAGCUGGCUUGAAUUAACCUACAGCAGUCCCUCAGAAGCCCAUUGGACACGUUCACACACUGGAGGGCACCUUGAACCCCCUGUCCCGCACGGAUCAGCACACAGCAAGAAGAGCAGCUCUCCAGAGCAACACUGCAGGAGGAAGGACAAGACCACUGGCAAGCGAGUAAUUAACAUUUACUGGUUUCUAGUUCAGGUUAGUUUGAGAGGAGAUCAUCUGGCUUCUGGUUCACUCCUGCUGGGACCAAUAUGGUGAAACUGAAACAAAGUAGAAAAUACGCACAUCUUAAGUGGAAAGGAAUUCAUUCCUGAGACCGAUAAAACAGAAUCAUAAUAAACAUUUAGGGAAAACAUUAAAAUCCAUUGAAUUUCCCUUCUCUGUAUGAAAGACAAGGAAUUUAAAACACCAGUUUGAAUUCAUUUUGAGUCAAUUCAUUCAGAAAAUGUACUUUGGCUUUCCUCAUGUGGAGGCAGUUAAUGAAUCUAACCCCAGAGCUAUAUAUUAUCAGUUCCCUAGUUAUCACAAUAACCUCAGACCAGUAACCCUCAUUACCUGUACUGCUCGCCUCAUCUUGUUCAAUUAGGCACAGAUAAAUAAAUGGAAAAGAACUGAAAUUAUUUAUUUGGUAGGACAGUGUUUCUCUCCCUUAUCCAGGUAGGGUUCUCCAAAAUUAUUUCCAAGAAAUCUAUCAGAGUGGUUGUUUGGUGUCUUUUGGUGGGAAAUCCACACUCAGACACCCACAACCAUGCACGAACACCCCACAUUCACUGCCCUCAGCACAGACGCUUAAAGCAGUGGGUCCAUGAAGUGACUCCUGCUUUCAGAAGCACCCACGUCCCCGGCAUAGAGAGGGAUGAUAUGAAGGCUCCUCCAUGGACACAUGUGACAUCUGCAGAGGGCAACCCCAGGGACAGAGCUCUGAGAAAAGGGAGGCAGAGCACUUCACAAAAAUUAUUCCCUCAUCAACAGAUAUUUCAAACCCAUGAAAUAGAAAGACAUUCCUCACAAAUGGCUAGAUAAAGAAAUGGGAAAUGUGGUGCCUUUGAACAGAAAUGCAUUCACAUGGAUAAUCAGAUUGCAGAGAUAUCAGGCUAGGCACUUACUUUAUGGUAUCUUUAUUUCUUUUCUGGCACAGAUAUAAAGAUUUUCACAGCUCUUUUCAACAGAGGAAAUGUGAGCUGCCUGCUCUCACUAAUCCAAUUGCUUGCUCGUAUAAUCACAUUGUAAAGAGGCCAGUAAUGCUGUAAAAGCAGGGGAGAGAGAGGAAAAAAAUCCAGACCAGCUUCUCCCUCUGUCUCACUGCUCAAAGUGUAAAUGUCACUCUUUUUAUGUGUGCAAAUAAAUGAAGGAAUGAAUCUUGCACAUCCUUUAGACCAUGAAUUCAUUAUGCAUCACUGAGGGCACACGUUUCUCACUAGAAGUGUGUUAUGUCAGAGCAGGUACUGAAGGGGUUUCCAUGUGAUGUCACAGCCUGGUGCCCACUGAGUAUUACAUUGCACAUCUUUGGGAAGAAACAGGAGAUUCCAAUGCCAUAGGAAGAGUCCCUUCUUGUCUUCGGGGUAGCACAGUCAGAAGCAACACCAGGAUGUGGAGCAGAGCUGCCCUGCUCUGGCUUGCACCCUGCUGCAGGAUCCCAGUGUGGAUGAGCUGUUGUGGACUAGAGAGUGCCCUAGAGCUGAGAGAAAGGCAGCUGACAGAGGGCAGGUUUGGGUUUGCCUUUCUGAAAUCUCAUUUCUGUAUUUACUCGUUCUUUUAUAAAACAGCCAGGAGGUUUAGGCAUUACCACGAGGCAAAACACUGAAUUUACACAUAACAGGAAUGGCCUGUGUAAUUUUGCAAAGAAGAGGAUAAUAUUUUAAAAUGUUUUGAUCUGUCCUUCAGCAUUUUGAUAUCUCUUCUACAGAAGUCUACAGGGAAGUUCAAGGCAAUAUUAUCACAAACUGUUUCUCCACAGGGGCCUAUUACUUUAUUCUUCCAGAUUCCUUAGGAGUUUUUCAAGGCUGUCAGUCUCAUCUUAUAUACUUCAGGCCUUUCCCUUCUCCUGUCUCUAAGACCACUGAACAUGUUGUCUGAAACAUCAGCCUUAACUCCUUCCCUACAACAGCACUGACCUACUGGCUUCAUUCCCUUCACUUUGCUUCUCCCAUGUUUUCUAGCAAUCUCUUCCAAACUAAUAGUGCACCUUCUGGUCCAUUUUGCUCUUUCCUCUUUAGUCCCUGUACACUGCUAGCUCAGGAGUGCAGCUUCCAGCUCACCCUGGUCUCACCCUUGCUGUGUGAGCUCUGCUUGGACUUCCUUUAGUCCCAAACACAAACUGGGAGCUGUUCUCAGCCCACCCAGUCCUGCCUUCUCCUCCCCAGUGCUGACAGAUGGAGGGCAGAGUGCGAGGAGAGGCAGAGUGACCACUUCCCUGUCCUUCACAGGGACUGGGGGCAGAAAGGCCCUUCCCACCAGGAAAAAUGAACAAUCUCACAUAGGAACACUCUUACGGUGGUAAAAGAUGGGGAUGGGAGUUUCCUUCCUUCCCCAUGGAAGCCUCUCUGGUCAGCCACCCUAAUGGUUGAGGAAGUUGGAAUUUAGAUGAUGGGGUUUUAAUCGGGACUUUUAAGAAUAGCAGAUAAAAAAGAAAUAACAAAUCUUCGCUACUCUGAAGCACAAUAUUAACCACAAAAGACAAGACAAAGCAGGUGAUUUCCAUUUUGGUAGUGCUAAGUCUAACAAAGGCCAGAGCAAGUGUUCUUUUGUGAUCCCAUCCUUUUAUGCCUCCCCAGUUCCCAGACAAGCCACUGCAUAUAUUUUUACAUUUCAAUGACAGUGGGAGAGGUUUUAUAGGGAAACACUUCAGAAAACAGACCUUCUCUCUGAGAUUUCCUGUAUUUCCUUUCCCUGCUACAGCCUGAGUAAACUGAUACUCCCACCAACUGGCUGUCCCUUCUCCAGGGGUGGUGGUGAUGACAGGUACCACACAGUGUGCCAAUCAUUCCAUGAUGUACUGUAAUUAAUUAUUUCUAAAACUAAUACACAAUUGUGCCAAAGGAAAUGAAGAAAUGGUCUUCAGAAUAGAUUUUGAGACUCCUCUAGUUUACUCAAUAGUCAAAUUAAGAUGUCGUUAGAGUUUAUACCUAACAGGGAAUUCUCAGUGUGCUUUCAAAUUGUCAUUAUUUGUUGUGAACUGAAGCUUGAAAAAAAUCCAAAAAUUUCCUUCUUAAUGGCUUUGGUCUUUUCCAUUUGACAAAUACUGAUUUUUCCCUUCUUUCCUUUGGCGAAGAAAGCAAAGUCAUGUUACUGGUACUAGAGAAAUUCAGGCCAGAGGCUAGACCUCCUGGUCACUCUAAAAUCCUCUGCAGCUCCCUGACCAGCAAAACAAAACCUUUCCCAUGUGAGGAAUUUGCCUCUAGGAGACUUCUGACCUUUUUCCUUUACUGUGAUGGUUCUUUCUGCUUCGGGGCACAGACGGGCACCUCUGCAGCUCCUCAGCAGUGAAACCACUGUGGGCUCCGCUCCUGCCACAGCCCGAGGGGAGCAUUCACCUGGACAGAAUGUGCAGAAGGUCCUGCCUGGAGCACUCACUGCCCGAGGGGAGCAUUCACCUGGACAGAAUGUGCAGAAGGUCCUGCCUGGAGCACUCACUGCCCGGGGGGAGCAUUCACCUGGACAGAAUGUGCAGAAGGUCCUGCCUGGAGCACUCACUGCCCGGGAGGAGCAUUCACCUGGACAGAAUGUGCAGAAGGUCCUGCCUGGAGCACUCACUGCCCGGAGGGAGCAUUCACCUGCACGGAAUGCAGAAGGUCCUGCCUGGAGCACUCACUGCCCGAGGGGAGCAUUCACCUGGACAGAAUGUGCAGAAGGUCCUGCCUGGAGCACUCACUGCCCGGGGGGAGCAUUCACCUGCACGGAAUGCAGAAGGUCCUGCCUGCAGGGGCGAGGCUGGCAGUGCCUCUGCACAUCCCACUGCCCAUGCUGAGGGUGGCAGGAGGCACCAUCCGAGCUCCAGGUGAGACCAGCCCUUGAGCACUGGUGCUGUUCCAGUGUCUGCCCUGUCCUGGAGCACCCCGGGAUUUCCAGAGGAGCCCUGGCUGCCCAAGGUCGCUGAGUCUGCAUCCCUCUCCCUCAGAACAGGGCCACAGCAGAUGCCCUUAAGUCACUGCCAGUGCUGUGGGUGUCUCCAACACCAACUAGGUCCCAGCUCAAGCCUUGGGGCAUAAAGAUCUCCACCUGCUGCACUGGUUUUGCUUGGUUUUUAAUCUUCAUCAGAGUGUGUCUGGAGGUUCCUCUUAUCCCCAUGAACACCUGAUCUCCUGUAGCUCAUGCAAGUUUUGGCCUUAUUGAGAACUCACAGCAAUGUCUCACCAGCUAGUAGUGUGGAAAAGCACGUCCCUGGCUUUGUUUUCCUUGUUUUCCUCCCACCCUUGUUCAGUGACAGACCUUCUGUUUUCUGCUCCAUGCUAAAAGGUGUGCGGGCACCUACAAUUUGAUUUCACAACACUGCUCGUUACUUCUUAUCAAGUCUCCCACUUAAUCACUUCCUCUAACAAUAAAUCCAAGCCAUCUGGCCCUGCAGAUCCUGUAGAUUCUGUCCAAGCAUUUAGUCAUUUUCAGAGCUCAUCCCCGAAUCCAGCUAUUCCGUCUAUGUCCUUUCUGAGACACAGUGACCUGAACUGAACACAUUAUUUCAGGUGAGUGUGUAACACUGAUUUAUUUGACAGCUUUCCAAUACUUCCAGUGUUAUUUUAUCCUGUUUCCUCUGCAUUCUAAUGAUUCUUGCUCCUUAGAAAGCAGCUACAUGUUGAGUCUUUGAGCUUUCCCAGUGAUACAAUGACCUUUUUUUCUGGGUUGUUGCAGUUAAUUUAGAACCUAGCCAGCAGUAUAAAUUGUUCUCAUUAAUUCUUCUGUGCAAAUUACUUUGCAUAUGUCAAAACUGAAUUUUGCUUGUCAUCUUGUUAUCCAUUCACUCCACCAUAUUUUUGUACCCUUUGAAGAUCAUCACAGGCACCUCUGGUCUUGAUUACCUAAAUAAUUUUUGUACAAUUUAUAUUUCUUGCCUCUCCACUAUUAAUUUUCUCUUGUAAAAUGUGUGUAUGUUUAUGUGUAUGUAAAUUAAACCCGCAUCCCCUUUAGGAAUUUAGAUCCAUCGCUCCCCAGACCUUCUGCAGUGGCAUCCAUUCCCCUGUCCAUUGCAAGAUUAAGAGUGGUUUAGGGACCAGAUCUGAACUGUAAGGGAGGAUUUAAAAUCCACUUUGCCUCAUGUAUUGAGAGGGAUUCUGACUUUGCUUUUUGUGGCCAUAUUUUUCAAAGGUGGAGCAACUCCAAAUUUAGCCAAGGAGCUCCUUGACUUAUUUCUAUCCAUGCCCAGACCACUGUUUUCAGACAGGCAUUAUAACCUGCAGCUGGGCAGGGCUCAGGAAUGCCCCAGCACCUUAGUGCCAGUCAGCAGCUGGGACCUGCCUGAGGCACAGCUCCAGACAGGGACCCGGUGCCUGGGCUGAGGGAGCUGAGCUCUGCCAGCCCCCGGGUGUGGGCAGUGACACCGUCCCAGCACAGGACGGUCACCAGGAGCUCAGAGCAGCACAGGGCUGGGCUCAGCACCCCCCUGUGUGCAGCUGUGCCAGAGCACCAACUGCUCCAGGACCCGUGUGCUGAGCAGGGCCGAGUGUGCCAGGGCAGGCACCACAGGGACUGUGCUCCCUGCUGUGGAUCCACGGAGUAUUGCUGGCAGCACUAAAAAUAGGAAUCAGUAAUGGGCACAGGAGCAAUUCACCCUCUCCCAUUUGCACAGUUUAAUUCCCACUGACUCGCAGGGGUUCAGAGAUUCUGUUAUGCUGCACAAAGCAGCAGAGCACACAGAAAAUUUCACCCUUAAAGACAAGAACAUCCAUAUACUGAGUGGUCUGAAUCAUGGGUCAUCUACCCCCACCACCUGCGUCUCUUAGAACGCUUCCAUCAACGCUGCCU